UACGUAGGCAGCGAGCGUUGUUCGGAGUUACUGGGCGUAAAGCGUGCGUAGGCGGUGGUCCAAGUCUGGUGUGAAAUCUCCCGGCUUAACUGGGAGGGUGCGCCGGAAACUGGGCCGCUGGAGUACGGGAGAGGCAAGCGGAAUUCCAGGUGUAGCGGUGAAAUGCGUAGAUAUCGCUUGGAACGCCAACGGUGAAAACAGCUCGCUGGGGGUGUGCUGACGCUGAGACACGAAAGCCAGGGGAGCGAACGGG
rnacentral:rRNA from 1 species